GUUCGAGCGUCAUUGCAACCCUCAAGCAUUACUUGGUAUUGGAUGCCACUGCUGUGGUGCAUCUCAAAAGUAUUGGCGGUGGCAUUCAACUUCUAGCGUAGUAAAUCUUCUCGCCUUGGAGUUUGAGUGUCUAACUGCCAGAACCCCUAAAUUUAUCAAAGGUUGACCUCGGAUCAGGUAGGGAUACCCGCUGAACUUAG
rnacentral:misc_RNA from 1 species